CAYCCUGUAGUGAGUGUCACGUCAAAUUGCAAAUUUGAAAAAGUUCCUAUUUGGUUCCAGGGCUU
rnacentral:tRNA from 1 species